GAUGAACGCUGGCGGCGUGCCUAAUACAUGCAAGUCGAGCGAAUGGAUUAAGAGCUUGCUCUUAUGAAGUUAGCGGCGGACGGGUGAGUAACACGUGGGUAACCUGCCCAUAAGACUGGGAUAACUCCGGGAAACCGGGGCUAAUACCGGAUAACAUUUUGAACCGCAUGGUUCGAAAUUGAAAGGCGGCUUCGGCUGUCACUUAUGGAUGGACCCGCGUCGCAUUAGCUAGUUGGUGAGGUAACGGCUCACCAAGGCAACGAUGCGUAGCCGACCUGAGAGGGUGAUCGGCCACACUGGGACUGAGACACGGCCCAGACUCCUACGGGAGGCAGGAGUAGGGAAUCUUCCGCAAUAGACGAAAGUCUGACGGAGCAACGCCGCGUGAGUGACGAAGGCUUUCGGGUCGUAAAACUCUGUUGUUAGGGAAGAACAAGUGCUAGUUGAAUAAGCUGGCACCUUGACGGUACCUAACCAGAAAGCCACGGCUAACUACGUGCCAGCCGCCGCCGUAA
rnacentral:rRNA from 1 species